AAUCAACGCUGGCGGCGUGCCUCAGACAUGCAAGUCGAACGAUUAAAGCUCUCUUCGGAGAGUGUAUAGAGUGGCGCACGGGUGAGUAACACGUAAGUAAUCUACCUUUGAGUGGGGAAUAACCCGGGGAAACCCGAGCUAAUACCGCAUAAUGCAGCGGCACCGCGAGGUGACAGUUGUUAAAGGAGCAAUCCGCUUAAAGAGGAGCUUGCGGCAGAUUAGCUAGNGGUAAGGUAAUGGCUUACCAAGGCUUCGACCUGUAUCCGGCCUGAGAGGGCGGUCGGACACACUGACACUGAAUAACGGGUCAGACUCCUACGGGAGGCAGCAGUCGGGAAUUUUGGGCAAUGGGCGAAAGCCUGACCCAGCAACGCCGCGUGAAGGAUGAAGUAUUUCGGUAUGUAAACUUCGAAAGAAUAGGGAAGAAUCAAUGACGGUACCAUUUAUAAGGUCC
rnacentral:rRNA from 1 species